rnacentral:tRNA from 1 species
GGGAAUGUGGCUUAGUGGUAGAGUACUUGCUUAGCAUGCAUGAAGCCCUGGGUUCAAUUCCUCAGUACCA